rnacentral:rRNA from 1 species
CCUACGGGCGGCAGCAUUGGGGGAUAUUGCACAAUGGGGGAAACCCUGAUGCAGCGACGCCGCGUGGGUGAAGAAGCGCCUCGGCGCGUAAAGCCCUGUCAGCAGGGAAGAAAAUGACGGUCCCUGAAGAAGAAGCCCCGGCUAACUACGUGCACGCAGCCGCGGUAAUACGUAGGGGGCAAGCGUUAUCCGGAUUUACUGGGUGUAAAGGGGGCGCAGACGGCGAUGCAAGCCAGGAGUGAAAGCCCGGGGCCCAACCCCGGGACUGCUCUUGGAACUGCGUGGCUAGAGUGCAGGAGGGGCAGGCGGAAUGCCUGGUGUAGCGGUGAAAUGCGUAGAUAUCAGGAGGAACACCGGUGGCGAAGGCGGCCUGCUGGACUGCAACUGACGUUGAGGCCCGAAAGCGUGGGGAGCAAACAGGAUUAGAUACCCCAGUAGUC